rnacentral:rRNA from 1 species
UUCGCCUGUUUAUCAAAAACAUAUCCUAAUGAGAGAAUAUUAGGUGCCGCCUGCCCGGUGUAUAAAUUAUUAACGGCCGCAGUACCUUGACUGUGCUAAGGUAGCAUAAUUCGUUGGCUUUUAAUUGGAGUCUGUAUGAAUGGCGAAACGUUGAAUCUUUGUCUCUUAUAUACUUUAGUUGAACUUGAUGAUAAGGUGAAAAUACCUUAUUUUAGAGGAAAGACGAGAAGACCCUGAGAAUUUAAAAUAAUGGUUUUGUUGGGGCAACAUUGAAACAAGUAAUUUUCAAUAAUUAUAAUUAUUACAUCCGAUUUUUCGUUAUAAGUUAAAUUACCUCAGGGAUAACAGCAUAAUUUAAUAGAAGUUUGUGACCUCGAUGUUGGACUAAGGUUUCUUAGAUUAAAAGUUUAAGUAUUUUGCUCUGUUCGAGCAUGUAAACCUUACGUGAUCUG